ensembl:lncRNA
UUGUAAUAUCAUGCAUGGGUCACUUGGAAAAUAUUGAUUCACAGGUGCAAAUCACCCAGAUGUUGACACACUUCAUUACACCAUAUGUUUAAAAAUCACUUUUGUAAUAUCAGCAUUGAUCUCAUCAGAAAAGACUCCAAGUCUUGGCACGCCACUGUCAAGCUCCCAAGGAGCUUGUGGGGACCUCACUUGAAGAACUGCUGAUUUAGGAAUUGUUAGUUAACUGCUGACUGAGGUGACUGAGGCAGUUAGUUUCUGUUAUGAUUACCUUUUCUAACCAGGAGUGAGUUAAAGAAUACAAGACUUGAUUUCUAUGAAUUUAGAGAAGCAAAUUCACAAUGAUAAGUCAUCAGGAUGACAGCAAGUACUGUCAGCAUUGGUGCUGGAUUGUACAGAAAUGAUGGUGGGGCUCCUUGGAUUGCAUAAUGUUCUGGCUGAGCGCUGAAGAACUGAUGCUUUUGAACUGUGGUGUUGGAGAAGACUCUUGAGAGUCCCUUGGACUGCAAGGAGAUCCAACCAGUCCAUUCUAGAGGAGAUCAGCCCUGGGUGUUCUUUGGAAGGAAUGAUGCUAAAGCUGAAACUCCAGUACUUUGGCCACCUCUUGCGAAGAGUUGACUCAUUGGAAAAG